AGCAGUGUGGCUUAAUGGAAAGAACAUGGGCUUGGGAGUCAGAGGUCAUGGGUUCUAAUCCCAACUCCGCCA
rfam:Ornithorhynchus anatinus chromosome 1, whole genome shotgun sequence.